rnacentral:rRNA from 1 species
UACGGAGGAUGCAAGCGUUAUCCGGAUUUAUUGGGUUUAAAGGGUGCGCAGGUUGUUUGAUAAGUCAGUGGUGAAAGUCUGUCGCUUAACGGUAGGAUUGCCAUUGAUACUGUUGGACUUGAAUAUGGAUGAGGUAGGCGGAAUGUGUAGUGUAGCGGUGAAAUGCAUAGAUAUUACACAGAACACCGAUUGCGAAGGCAGCUUACUAAUCCAUCAUUGACGUUGAGGCACGAAAGCGUGGGGAUCAAACAGGA